UACGGAGGGAGCUAGCGUUGUUCGGAAUUACUGGGCGUAAAGCGCACGUAGGCGGCUUCUUAAGUCGGUGGUGAAAUCCUGGAGCUCAACUCCAGAACUGCCUUCGAAACUGAGAAGCUCGAGUCCGGGAGAGGUGAGUGGAACUGCGAGUGUAGAGGUGAAAUUCGUAGAUAUUCGCAAGAACACCAGUGGCGAAGGCGGCUCACUGGCCCAAUACUGACGCUGAGGAGCGAAAGCGUGGGGAGCAAACAGG
rnacentral:rRNA from 1 species